AGAACGAACGCUGGCGGCAGGCCUAACACAUGCAAGUCGAGCGAGAUUUUCGGAUCUAGCGGCGGACGGAUGAGUAACGCGUGGGAAUAUGCCCUUUGGUACGGAAUAGCCUCGGGAAACUGAGAGUAAUACCGUAUGCGCCCAUGGACCGUGGAGGUUUAUGGGGAAAGAUUUAUCGCCGAAGGAUUAGCCCGCGUUGGAUUAGGUAGUUGGUGGGGUAAUGGCCUACCAAGCCGACGAUCCAUAGCUGGUUUGAGAGGAUGAUCAGCCACACUGGGACUGAGACACGGCCCAGACCUCCUACGGGAGGCAGCAGGUAGGGGAAUCGUAGACGAAGUCGGGGCAACCCGUGAUCUAGCCAUGCCCGCGUGAGUGAGUGAAGGCCGUUAGGUUCGUAAAGUCUU
rnacentral:rRNA from 1 species